AUACGGAGGGUGCAAGCGUUGUUCGGAAUUAUUGGGCGUAAAGCGCGUGUAGGCGGUCUUUUAAGUCUGAUGUGAAAGCCCCGGGCUCAACCUGGGAACUGCAGUGGAUACUGGGCGACUAGAGUGUGGUAGAGGGUAGCGGAAUUCCUGGUGUAGCAGUGAAAUGCGUAGAGAUCAGGAGGAACAUCCAUGGCGAAGGCAGCUACCUGGACCAACACUGACACUGAGGCACGAAAGCGUGGGGAGCAAACAGGAUUAGAUACCCUGGUAGUCCACGCCGUAAACGAUGGGUACUAGGUGUAGGGGGUUUCGAUACCUUCUGUGCCGCAGUUAACGCAUUAAGUACCCCGCCUGGGGAGUACGUGCGCAAGCAUGAA
rnacentral:rRNA from 1 species